rnacentral:rRNA from 1 species
GACACGCGGCUGUGCGCACGCCCCUGCCGGGCUGCAGAGCCCGGACAGGUCGUGCGGGCCGGCGCGCCCUCUUUCGGGUGGCGCGCCGCGCUGGCCAAACCGCACCCAACGCAAACCGAGACUGAAGCCAAAGGUUGCUCGCAACCGAAGCGAAACCAAAGACAACUCUCAACAACGGAUAUCUUGGUUCCCGUAACGAUGAAGAACGCAGCGAAAUGCGAUACGUAGUGUGAAUUGCAGAAUUAUGUGAACCAUCGAAUCUUUGAACGCAAAUUGCGCCCGAGGCCUCGGCCAAAGGCAUGUCUGCCUCAGCGUCGGCUUCACCCCUCCUCUCCUUUUUCCGGUAAAAUGGAGAGGGAGCUGGUGGUCUCGGCCCGUCCGGGUCCGCCGAAGAGCAGAGGCUCAGCCGCUCCCCAUGUCUGAAAAACAAGGGCAACAGUCUGGUAGGCGACUCGUCGCAUGCCUUCGCUGGUGCCCCGGGCAGCGGCCGGCCGGCAGGAAGUGUGCUUGCAAGCGCACUCUCA